UACGAAGGGGGCUAGCGUUGUUCGGAAUUACUGGGCGUAAAGCGCGCGCAGGCGGUUCUUCAAGUCAGUGGUGAAAGCCCGGAGCUCAACUCCGGAACUGCCAUUGAAACUGUGAGACUGGAGUACGAGAGAGGUGAGUGGAAUUCCCAGUGUAGAGGUGAAAUUCGUAGAUAUUGGGAAGAACACCGGUGGCGAAGGCGGCUCACUGGCUCGUAACUGACGCUCAGGCGCGACAGCGUGGGGAUCAAACAGG
rnacentral:rRNA from 1 species